CCUACGGGGGGCUGCAGUGGGGAAUAUUGGACAAUGGGGGCAACCCUGAUCCAGCCAUGCCGCGUGUGUGAAGAAGGCCCUCGGGUUGUAAAGCACUUUCAGUGAGGAAGAACGCCUGGUGGUUAAUACCCAUCAGGAAAGACAUCACUCACAGAAGAAGCACCGGCUAACUCCGUGCCAGCAGCCGCGGUAAUACGGAGGGUGCGAGCGUUAAUCGGAAUUACUGGGCGUAAAGCGCGCGUAGGUGGCUUGAUAAGCCGGUUGUGAAAGCCCCGGGCUCAACCUGGGAACGGCAUCCGGAACUGUCAAGCUAGAGUGCAGGAGAGGAAGGUAGAAUUCCCGGUGUAGCGGUGAAAUGCGUAGAGAUCGGGAGGAAUACCAGUGGCGAAGGCGGCCUUCUGGACUGACUCUGACACUGAGGUGCGAAAGCGUGGGUAGCAAACAGGAUUAGAUACCCUUGUAGUC
rnacentral:rRNA from 1 species